rnacentral:tRNA from 1 species
GGGUCGUUCGUCUAAUGGCAUGACACCGGACUUUUAAUCCGGCGCGAAUUUUUGCAUUGAGUGUUCGAAUCACUCACGACCCACCA